UACGAAGGGGCUAGCGUUGUUCGGAUUUACUGGGCGUAAAGCGCACGUAGGCGGAUCGUUAAGUUGGGGGUGAAAUCCUGGAGCUCAACUCCAGAACUGCCUUCAAUACUGGCGAUCUAGAGUCCGGAAGAGGUGAGUGGAACUCCUAGUGUAGAGGUGGAAUUCGUAGAUAUUAGGAAGAACACCAGUGGCGAAGGCGGCUCGCUGGUCCGGUACUGACGCUGAGGUGCGAAAGCGUGGGGAGCAAACAGG
rnacentral:rRNA from 1 species